ensembl:misc_RNA Metazoa_SRP Metazoan signal recognition particle RNA
GCUGGGUGUGAUGGCGCACACCUGUACUCCUAGCUUCUCGGGAGGCUGAGGUAGGAGAAUAGCUUGAGCCCAGGAGUUCAAGUUUACAGUGAACUAUGACUGUGCCACUGCACUCCAGCCUGGGUGACAGAGCAAGAUCCUGUCUCUU